rnacentral:lncRNA from 1 species
GCUGGCGUGAGCUGUCCCUUGGCUGUGUAUUGACCAAGAACCUGGACACAAGGGAGACUAUGUUCAUGGGCGCCUAAGAUGAUCCAAUCAGAGGCCAGCCCUCCCUUUGACCAGAUUCAAAUCAACCAAUCAAGCAACAUCAGCCCUCAUCCAAUCACAAGAGAUCACACAGAUUGCAAGACCAACUUUCCAUCUUAGCCAUCCAUUCAUUUCAAGUUAAUAUUAUCCAUUAGAUUUAGGUUUCAGAUUGUGUAAACCUAUUGAGCUUAUAAAUAAGCAUGUAAGUGGCGAUUUGGAGCCUCAAGAGAGUAUGGGGGGUUUCCCCAUCUCCUUCAUAAUUAUAAAAGUGUGUUCUUGAUCAGAUUCCCUUAAUCUACCCCUUUCUUAGUCUCUAAUCUCUUAAUCUCUCAAAGUCUCUUUGUUUCUGAUUCAAGUUCACACUAGUUUCAUCAGACCUCUUAUUCAACUAGUUCAAGACCUUAUCUUUGCCUUUAAUGGCUUUUCUUACACAUACACAGCCAGAGCUCUCAAAUCUCACAAUAGGAGUUGGCACGAAGAAGUUAUCCCACUUUCAAAUCAGGUGAUUACAGCUUUCAAGUUUGGGAAUAGCACAGCUUCUUCAUCGUUCCAAUCAAACUGACUCAGCUUGUAUAAUCCCUAGGCUUUGGAGAGCUCUACUCUUUUUCCCUUGCAAGGUUUUGUCCCAAUGGGUUUUCCUUGUAAGGUUUUUAAUGAGGGAGACUCUUCAGGGUUCCAAGCUUGACUUAGGAUCUGCUAGAGUCAAACUUGAGGGGGAGUGUUGAACUGAAGAGAAGAUGGAGCUUGUACAAUGAUAGGGCAAGCUCUAGAAUGUUAACUUGAAGAAUAGAAAUGGAGUGAAAGGAGAAGUAUGGAGCAGUUUGGUUCUAGUGCAAAGAGAGGGCAAGUCUUACAGAGAUUGUCUGUCAAGCUUCAGGAGGGUCUUAAGAAGUCAAGAAGUGAUCUUAUGGCUGUGCAAGAUUGGGUUUAAGUCCAGGAGGGACUUAGACACCAUUUGGAGAAUAUUUGGUUGAGACAGUAACUCCAAAGUUACCACAGUAACUUUGGAGAGUUACCACAGUAACUUUGGAGAGUUACCACAGUAAGAGAACACAAAACUCUUAAGAGAAGAAGACAAAACUCUUAAGAAAAGAAGACAAAGGAGAGGCUGGCAAGUGACAGGCUGGAAAGGAGAGUCCCUUGCUGUAAAGUAAAAGCAAAAGGAGACCAUGUAUCUAGCAAAAGAAGUGGGCAGAUUCAUGGGAGCCUUUAGCUAGCCAAUAAGGAGCCAGCCUUCCCUUGACCAGAUUCAAAUGGACCAAUUAUCCAUCAGGAAGAGUCAGCCACGACCAAGACCAUCUUUCCAUCUCAUCCAUCCAUUUAAAUUCAAGUUAUAACAGCCCUUAGAUUUAGGUUUAUGAUUGCAAGUUGUAAAGAGCAUAUAUAAGCUCAUAAGUGAUGUUUUGUAACUCUUAAGUGAGUAAGGGGGUUUCCCUUCUCCUUCUCAAAUCUGAAACACUUUCUCUUAGUCUCUCUAGUCUGUAAUCUCUAAGAGAGAGAGGGGGAUUUCCCCUCCUCCCUCAUAAUCUUAUGAUACUUUGUCUCUCUAAACUCUCUAGUCUCUCAUCCUGAAUCUCUAUACACGUUCUCAGUCUGGUCACUAAUCUCUUAAACACUUAGACACACAAACACUCAUUAAACUUCCUUUCUCUCAAAUCGCUUCCAAGCUCUCUCUCUCUCUUUACCCAUUUGGGUUUCAUACACACAUACAACCUGAGUACUCUUAAAUCUCAUAGAGAGACCAAGAUCUGUCUAAAGAAGAGUACAAGAAGUGUUGAUGAUGAGCAAGAGGAGUGGGUUCUAUCUUGCAUCAAAUGAGGGCCAUGAUCCAGAGUCUUUGUGUCCCUUACAUUGCUGGUAAGGCACAAAGACUCACUGGCCAAUCCCUAGGCCUUGGAGGCUUUACUCUUUUUCCCUCAUCAAGGCUUUGUCCCAAAGGGUUUUCCUUGGUGAGGUUUUUAAUGAGGAAGUUCUUCAAGGUUCCAAGCUUGACUUAGGAUCAGCUAAAGUCAAGCUUGAGGGGGAGUGUUAACUUGAAGAAAGGAAUGGAGAAGCUAAAGGUGUUAAGUUGAGAUGGAGCUUGUGCAAAGAUAGGGCAAGAGCUUUAGAGAGUGCCUAUCAAGAGUGGUGAAGUGUCUUAAGAGAGCUAGAGGUGAUCUCAUGGUUGUUCUAAGCAAGGACAAAGUCUAGGAGAGACUUAGAAGAGUAUUGAGGAGCAAAUGGACGAGUGUACAAAGAUAGGGCGAGGCUGGUACAGCCAUGUACGGCCUAGUAUGAAUCAGUACGGAUGGUGGACGUACCAAAGGUGUAUACUCGGCCAUUUGUGAGUCUUAAGGUUUGGUGCAAACUUAGGGUGCUUGUGUACGGACAUUGAGUGAUCCGUACAUACUCUAAGGAUUGUGAUCAGCCUAACUUGAGUCCCAAGUAAGAAGAAUGGCGUUGGCUGAUUGUGUGAAGAAGCCAAGAGGCGCCAAAGUCUGAGUUUGAAUGUUGGGACCAGUUAUGGAUAAGGCACAGCAAGAACCAGCUGGCGUGAGCUGUCCCUUGGCUGUGUAUUGACCAAGAACCUGGACACAAGGGAGACUAUGUUCAUGUGCGCCUAAGAUGAUCCAAUCAGAGGCCAGCCCUCCCUUUGACCAGAUUCAAAUCAACCAAUCAAGCAACAUCAGCCCUCAGCCAAUCACAAGACAUCACACAGAUUGCAAUACCAAGCUUACAUCCUAGCCAUCCAUUCUCUCAAGUUAAUAUUAUCCAUUAGAUUUAGGUUUCAGAUUGUGUAAACCUAUUGAGCUUAUAAAUAAGCAUGUAAGGGGCGAUUUUGAGCCUUAAGGGAGUUUGGGGGAUUUCCCCUCUCCACUUCAUAAUAAAAGUGUGUUCUUGAUCAGUUUCCCUUAAUCUACCCCUUUCUUAGUCUCAAGUCUCUUAAUCUCUCAAAGUCUCUUUGUUUCUGAUUCAAGUUCAUACUAGUUUCAUCAGACCUCUUAUUCAACUAAUUCAAGACCUUAUCUUUGCCUUUAAUGGCUUUUCAUACACAUACACAGCCAGAGCUCUCAAAUCUCACAUGGUAUCAGAGCCAGGUUCAUCAGAACCUGAGCUGAGCUUCCGCAAAUCCACAGCUCUUAUCUCAGCUCAAACCAAACCCUUGAAUUCAUAUCCAUCCGAGUUCAACUCUUGAAGAAGAAGAGACUUGAAGCCGUGGAGUGUUAUCCUGUCCCUUAAGCCGUUUCUGUCUGUACCUGAUGGAGAGAGUCUCAUUGGAAGCAAAGGAGGAUGGAGAUGCGUCAUGAACCUCAAGCCAAAACUCCUUGUCCAAGAGCUUGUUACAUCCGGCUACAAGAAAGAUGAAGUGAAGUGAAGAGAAGCCGGCUUGAUAGUAUGGAGCAAGGAGGGGUCUUUGGGUGUGAGAAACAAGAAGGAGGCCAUGAGUAGAAGGAGGAGAGGCUGGGUGACGAUCCAUACUCUCAUGUCCAACAAAACCGUGAGCCAAAAGCCAUUGGAGGUUCAAGGAACCAAACCGGUUCCUUGGCUGUAAGCUAAUACUAUAUCCCUUCUUGAUAAUGAGCUUGUGUUGUGACUGUGCCUGGUUAUUGUGAUGUGUAUUGAUUGAAAAACCUGAGGAUAAUGUGUGAUUGCUAAAUAAAAUUAGUUGAAUCUGUACCAGGAUGCUUUAAAGGCUUGUUUAGUGUUUAAAGAGUAAAAUGCUUGCUCCUGUUAAGUAAUGAGUUUGCUAAAUGAAAUGGUAUUGUUUGAAGCUCAUGAACUGAAAACAGAUUGAAAGUAAUGCAUUGUCUGAUGAUAAGUGAUGAUAGUAAUGCUUAGCCUAAGUUAUAAAUGAAUGUGUGAUGGAUUGUAUUGUUGCAUUCAUGAAUUGAAACUGAUUAAAGGUUAGUGCAUACUGUCAAAAGGCUGUCUUACAUUGAAGCAUUAGAUUCAUGUCUAAAUGCUGAGUAAAGAAGCUUUAAAAUUGCCUAAGUAGCUUGUAUUGAAUCUGUUAUGAUCUUACUUGUGCUUAGAGAGUUUGCUUGCAAAGAUUAGAACUUGAAAAUUUCUAGUUUAAUCUGUUGCAUUGCUUAAAGACAUUGGUGUUCAAACUUGAUGAUGCAUCAAGGGUUGACCCAAUGCACUUGUGUCUUAUCUUUGCUGGAGUUUGAGUGAUGUUUCAGGUUCACAAGAGGUGUUCUUGGUUCACCAUCCAUCCGAGUUGAAAGAGGAAGACUUUGCCCAUUGUGUGGAGCAAUGGAGAGUUAAGAAAGAAGUGGUGAUGCGCCACUGGUGUGUAGUGUCACUGAAGCUCACUUGC